rnacentral:lncRNA from 1 species
ACCCGUCAUGUAGUGAAUGUGUCCAGGCUGAGGAGCUACAAAAGAUGUUCAAAUCUGUCGACUGAGAGGAAAGUUCCCCUUGAUCACACAUAUGUGACACUUGGAUGCUAGACUGACCAUCAGUAUGGCAGUCCAGGACCAAAAUGGCAAAACGACUUGAACCAACUUCAGUCCAGCCUGCUGGAAUAUGUUUUGGACCAAAACCGUCCUCCCAAAGAGCUGAUGGUGAAGGAGGGGAAUAUCUGCCUGACACGAGAAGACUUUUGGAGCCUGGGUUUGGAACAGUGUAUGGAAUUUGCUAUUGGGAAUGCCUGUCUGAAGAUUGUGGGGGAAGCUGCGCGAAGACAUGGAAAAGACGUUUAUAUUGCGGACUUGUAUGCUGUUCCCACCUGGAAAGAUCCAGAAGCAAACCUGCUGCACUGCUUGCCUGUAUGUUUUUUUUUUUGUGCAUGUUUACUAAUUUGUGCCAAACUUGUAGGAAAAUUACAGAUCCAAGGACAUCCUUAUUUUUCCAUCUUGGAGCAGACAGGCAGGUCACGCUGACCACUAUCUACUCUGCGCUAUAUUGGUAGCGGAGAAAGAAAUACUCUUUCUUGAUUCUCUUUGGCCAGAUGGUUUUGGGGAUGAUCACUACAAAACCAUAUUUAGGUUGACAGUAAAGAAAUUCAGUGUUCUGGCCUUGUUCAAUGGCCAAGUGUGUUGUUUGACUACAUUAUUUUUAAAUGAGCUUCGUUCUCAGGCUCAAAGUUUCAGCAUGAAGCCUCGUUCUCAGGCUCACAGUUUCAGCAUGAAGCCUCGUUCUCUGGCUCAAAGUUUCAGUAUGUAGCCUCGUUCUCAGGCCUAAAGGUUCAACGUGAAGCCUCGUUCUCAGGCUAAUUUAUAUCUCUUUACUUGUUUGAAUUUAAUUCGACGUGUGUUCUGUUUUCUCUACAAUUCCAGAAGAGCAGCAGCCCUCAUUGACCCUGGAUCAUGGACGGAGAAAACGGG